rnacentral:rRNA from 1 species
CACGUAGGAGGCGAGCGUUGUCCGGAAUCAUUGGGCGUAAAGAGCGCGCAGGCGGCUUGGCAAGUCGGGUGUGAAAUCCCGGGGCUCAACCCCGGGACUGCAUUCGAUACUGUCAGGCUAGAGGUAGGUAGGGGAGAUCGGAAUUCCUGGUGUAGCGGUGAAAUGCGCAGAUAUCAGGAGGAACACCAGUGGCGAAGGCGGCUCACUGGUCCGGUACUGACGCUGAGGUGCGAAAGCGUGGGGAGCAAACAGG